GUACUAUACAAACACAAUGCACAAAGACACAGAUUACAGAAUUCAGUGACAGAUGGAUUUGGUUGCAGAUGUGGGGCAGUCCCUCUGGCUGGGGUGCAGUUUCUCAUCCACCCCUGGUGAGUGACUAGAUGGCUGGGUUUUCGUAGCAAAAAGCAGGCCAUGUCGUCUGAGAUCUCUGAAAUAUUUUGUAGUCAAACUAGGGCUGUACAC